AACGAACGCUGGCGGCAUGCCUAACACAUGCAAGUCGAACGAGACCUUCGGGCCUAGUGGCGCAAGGGUGCGUAACGCGUGGGAACCUGCCCUUAGGUUCGGAAUAACUACCCGAAAGGGGUGGUAGUACCGGAUAAUGUCAUCGGACCUAAGAUUUAUCGCCUUUGGGUGUGCCCGCAGUGUAUUAGCUAGUUGGUAGGGUAAAAGCCUACCAAGGGGACGAUGCUUAACUGGUUCGGGAGGAUGGUCAGCCACCCUGGGGGUGAGACACGGCCCAGACUCCCACCGGAGGACGCAAGUGGGAAUGAUGGGCGACGGGCGAGAGGCUGAUCCAGCCAUGCCGCGUGGGUUAGGAAGGCCUUAGGGUUGGAUAGGUCUUUUACCCGGGCUGAUUAUGACGGUACCGGGAGAAUAAGCGCCGGCUAACUCCGUG
rnacentral:rRNA from 1 species